UCUGAAUAUAUAUGGAAUGAAAGUCUGAAUAUAUAUGGAAUGAAAGUCUGAAUAUAUAUGGAAUGAAAGUCUGAAUAUAUAUGGAAUGAAAGUCUGAAUAUAUAUGGAAUGAAAGUCUGAAUAUAUAUGGAAUGAAAGUCUGAAUAUAUAUGGAAUGAAAGUCUGAAUAUAUAUAGAAUGAAAGUCUGAAAAUACAUAGAAUGAAAGUCUGAAUAUAUAUGAAAGUCUAAAUGUAUGUGAAAGUGUGAAUAUGUGAAAAGAAAGUGUACCAUUGACAAUUCUCACUGAAUAAUGUGUAGCUUGUUUUAGCCUUUUGAAUUGUGAUUCAUUCAAAAAUGUCAUUCUCUGAAAUUUUCCAAUACUUUGGUGAGCUACAAGACUUUUUUGCAACAGUUGGUCAUACUCCAAACAACAUAAACAAUUUGGAGUCUACAUCACGUCAUCUCGAGGAUCAUAUUUCCAUUCUUGCAACAUUCUUAGCGCUUAUGGGCAGUCAUGUUCAACAAAAUGUUGCUGAAAGAACAUUAUGCAUCAUUCUCGAAGGAAUUUAUGAAUCUCUUAGGGAAAUGUUGGCUGAAAUAGUGCUCCAGGUAGAAGCUGAUACACAAGUGCAUGGUAGAGGAGCACAUUCUGCAUCACAGAGAGGAAGGCUGAGGUACAACAUAUCAGCUGCUCUGUUGAUUCACAUGCGGGACUUAGGAUUUAGCUGGAUGGCCAUAUCACGAAUGUUGUCUGUAAACAUUCGAACACUGUACAACCACAGGAGACAACUUGGUUUAGUGGACUAUGGGAGCUUCACAAACAUUUCAAAUGAUGAUCUAGAUCGUCAUAUUACUGAGGUUCUUCAACAAACCCCUUGAUCGGGAGAGACCUACAUCACUGGUAGUUUGAGAGGAAGAGGGAUCAGAGUUCCGCGAUGGCGAGUGCGAGAGCGUUUAAGAAUCAUAGAUCCAGUGGGAAGAGCCUUAAGAGGAUGAAGGGCUAUUCAACGGAGAGUCUACAAUGUCUCUGUCCCAAAUCAACUGUGGUAUGUGUUUUGUAAAUUUGUAAUUACUCUCUAGCUGGUUAAUGAAGCAAGAUUGCUGUUGCUGUAAAAUCAUAAUGAAAAAGUGAGAUAAUGCAACAUAAAAAAAAGUAUAAGCAUGAAAAAAAGAGAUAUUUAGAUUAAUAAAUUAAUUAUAUUAUUAUUAUUAUUUAUUUUU
ensembl:lncRNA